GUGCGAGACCGAUAGCGAACAAGUACCGUGAGGAAAAGAUGAAAAGAACUUUGAAAAGAGAGUUAAAGAGUACCUGAAACUGCUGAAAGGGAAGCGAAUCGUAUCCAGUGUCUAUAAUCUGCGGCAUAUUUCAUUGGCGGCGGUGCGCGUGCUUUUGCGUCGGAAGCGGCUUUUGUUGCUCUGUGCUUUUGCUGUGCGUGGUGUUGCUGGUGCCCUGUGUUGCGGUGGGACGUCAGAGUCAGUUUGUAUGCUGCGGGAAAUGGCUGCCGAGGAGGUAGGUCGAGAUUUCGGUCUUGGCUGUUAUAUCUUGGUGGUUUGUUGUCGUGGUUGAGACUGAGGUGCCUACAAUGUGCUUUUGAGCGUACCGGGUUCUCAUUUGGUGGACUGUUUGGAUAGCUUGCUAUGCUUGUGGUUUUUUCAUCGGGUGAUUGAGUCUGGUGGUAACUUGUUGCUGUUCGGGACUUUG
rnacentral:rRNA from 2 species